GAUGAACGCUGGCGGUAUGCUUAACACAUGCAAGUCGAACGGACUCUUCGGAGUUAGUGGCGGACUGGUGAGUAACGCGUGAGAAUCUGGCUUUGGGUUCGGGACAACCACUGGAAACGGUGGCUAAUACCGGAUGUGCCGAGAGGUAAAAGAGAAAUUGCCUGAAGAUGAGCUCGCGUCUGAUUAGCUAGUUGGUGAGGUAAAGGCUCACCAAGGCAGCGAUCAGUAGCUGGUCUGAGAGGAUGACCAGCCACACUGGGACUGAGACACGGCCCAGACUCCUACGGGAGGCAGCAGUGGGGAAUUUUCCGCAAUGGGCGAAAGCCUGACGGAGCAAUACCGCGUGAGGGAAGAAGGCUCUUGGGUUGUAAACCUCUUUUCUUAGGGAAGAACAAAAUGACGGUACCUAAGGAAUCAGCAUCGGCUAACUCCGUG
rnacentral:rRNA from 1 species